rnacentral:lncRNA from 10 species
CAAGUACAAAAUCAACAAACCAAAGUAUAGGUGGAAAAUAUACCACGUGAGUUUCUCAGACACCGUUUGAAUGGAGACUGGCAUCUCUUUAAGAACUACUUCCCUUUCUCCACAGCUUAACAUCAGAAACUUGAAGGUCACUCCCAAGGGUGAACACUCUGGAGAGAAAGAUUUGCUCUCAGUGCUGAUUUAUGAACUGCAGCGUCACAAACCAGCAUUAAUUUGUAGUUAAUUUUUCCCCAAAGCUUUUCGUUUACUUACAGUCAUCUCUUAUCCCUGAAAAAACAAAACACGUAUAUUAUUGUGCUUUAUACUUUCCUAAAGAAGAAAAAAAUUCUAAGAAAAUUAUAUUUAGUAACUUAUUGUCUUAAGAAAAUAACUGCAAAAUAUCUGUCUAGUGUGAUAAAUUAUACGUGUAAGUUUAUUUUUUUUCAGAAGCAGAAAACAUCAUUUCUCUAGUAAGUUCACAAAGAUAAUUAAGAUACCCAGAUGAAAUUCUACAAAUGGCUUUAAAAGUUGAUGGGGAACUGAAUGUUUAGUAUUAAUGUAUCAUAAUUGAAAUAAAAUAAAGAUAAUAGAGAAAUAAAAUAAAGAUGCUAUAACCCUCAAACUUUCACCAUAAAUCUUUUUCUUU